UACGUAGGUGGCAAGCGUUGUCCGGAAUUAUUGGGCGUAAAGUGCGCGCAGGCGGUUUCUUAAGUCUGAUGUGAAAGCCCACGGCUCAACCGUGGAGGGUCAUUGGAAACUGGGAGACUUGAGUGCAGAAGAGAAGAGCGGAAUUCCACGUGUAGCGGUGAAAUGCGUAGAGAUGUGGGGGAACACCAGUGGCGAAGGCGGCUCUUUGGUCUGUAACUGACGCUGAGGCGCGAAAGCGUGGGGAGCGAACAGG
rnacentral:rRNA from 1 species